rnacentral:rRNA from 1 species
CUGGCGGCAGGCUUAACACAUGCAAGUCGAACGCAUCCUUCGGGGUGAGUGGCAGACGGGUGAGUAACGCGUGGGAACGUGCCCUUCAGUUCGGGAUAACCCAGGGAAACUUGGGCUAAUACCGGAUACGUGCGAGAGCAGAAAGAUUUAUCGCUGAAGGAUCGGCCCGCGUCUGAUUAGCUAGUUGGUAGGGUAAUGGCCUACCAAGGCGACGAUCAGUAGCUGGUCUGAGAGGAUGAUCAGCCACAUUGGGACUGAGACACGGCCCAAACUCCUACGGGAGGCAGCAGUGGGGAAUAUUGGACAAUGGGCGCAAGCCUGAUCCAGCCAUGCCGCGUGAGUGAUGAAGGCCUUAGGGUUGUAAAGCUCUUUCGUCCGGGACGAUAAUGACGGUACCGGAAGAAGAAGCCCCGGCU